UACAGAGGGUGCGAGCGUUGUCCGGAAUCACUGGGCGUAAAGGGCGCGUAGGUGGCCCGGUUAGUAGGGGGUGAAAUCUCGUGGCUCAACCGCGAGGCUGCCUCCUAAACUGCCGGGCUCGAGCAGAGUAGAGGCAGGUGGAAUUCCCGGUGUAGCGGUGGAAUGCGUAGAGAUCGGGAAGAACAUCGGUGGCGAAGGCGGCCUGCUGGGCUCUUGCUGACACUGAGGCGCGACAGCGUGGGGAGCAAACAGG
rnacentral:rRNA from 1 species